AGCCUCGGUAUCGUUCGCGGAAAGGUCAAAUCUGCACGAACACAUUAGCCGUGUGUGAUAGAAAUAUGAACUUUGUGUAUGUGUUGCCGGAGUGGGAGGGCUCUGCAGGUGAUGCUCUAGUCCUCCGAGAUGCUUGAAUCGAACCAACGGACUGAAGGUUCCUCGAGAUAAUUACUAUCUAUGCGACAACGGUUAUGCAAAUAGCGAUGGUUUCCUAACUCCUUUUAAGGGUGUCCGCUAUCACCUCAAAGAAUGGGGCUACGGAAAUGAGGCUCCUCAAUCUACACGCGAAAUCUUCAACAUGAGACACACACGUGCGUGAAAUGUGAUCAAACGUGCUUUCGCUGUACUCAAAAUGCGCUGGGGAAUACUAAGGAGUUCAGCAUUUUACCCACUGAAAGUGCAAAUCAGACUGAUUAUGGCCUGCUUUUUACUUCACAACUACGUACGAAGUGCGAUGGAGGUCGACCCAAUCGAGCUGGCGAUGGAUGCAGGAGAACUUGAAGAUGAUAUGGAUGUUGCGGCUGCUGCUAAUGACAAUGCUCCCCCUGAGUUUGUGGACACCGUCGAACCUACAACAGAAUGGAAUAAUCAUCGAGAUGCCUUAGCAGAAUCCAUGUGGAAUGUGCAUGUUGGCGGCCUCGCGUGAUGCAUAUCAUGAAGUGCAAGCAUCUCCCUUUUAGUUGUUUUAGCAUUGGGACUGUAUGGAUGAAUGUUAUUACUAUGUAUUUUAUUAGAC